rnacentral:rRNA from 1 species
GAUGAACGCUGGCGGCGUGCCUAAUACACGCAAGUCGAACGAAAAGACGAGGAGCUUGAUCUGCUGACGUUAGCGGCGGACGGGUGAGUAACACGUGGACAACUCCCCUAUAAGACUGGGAUACCUUCGGGAAACCGGAGCUAAUACCGGCUAACAUCUUGUACCGCCUGGGUCAAUUGUGGAAGACGGUUUUGCUGUUACCUAUAGAUGGAUUCGCGCCUCAUUAGCUAGUUGGUAAGGUAAAGGCUUACCAAGGCAACGAUGCGUAGCUGACCUGAGAGGGUGAGCGGCCACACUGGAACUGAGACACGGUCCAGACUCCUACGGGAAGCAGCAGUAGGGAAUUUUCCGCAAUGGGCGAAAGCUUGACGGAGCAACGCCGCGUGAGUGAUGAAGGUCUUCGGAUCGUAAAGCUCUUUUAUUAGGGAAGAACAAAUGUGUAAGUAACUAUGCACGGCUUGACGGUACCUAAUCAGAAAGCCACGGCUAACUACGUG